UACGUAGGGUGCGAGCGUUGCCCGGAUUUAUUGGGCGUAAAGGGCGCGUAGGCGGCUCGGCACGUCCGUUGUGAAAUCGCCCGGCUCAACUGGGCGGGGUCAGCGGAUACGGCCGAGCUUGAGCAAGCUAGGGGGCAAUGGAAUUCCCGGUGUAGCGGUGAAAUGCGCAGAUAUCGGGAGGAACACCGGUGGCGAAGGCGGUUCUCUGGGCCUGACCUGACGCUGAGGAGCGAAAGCGUGGGGAGCGAACAGG
rnacentral:rRNA from 1 species